ACACCGCGUUGACUGCUGGCGGAAUUCGAUAACUUAUUGACACUAGAUUUUAUAGUUUUGUUUUUUUUUUUCGGAAAAUGAAAAAACCGCCCAAUACAAUAUUGUCACGUUAUUACAAUAUACGUUAUUUUACUAACGCGCCAUACGAUCAAUCUUAUUGGCCUCGUGAGUAGCUUAGAGAAAGGAUGGGGUAUUAUGUGGAAACUCCUUUGCCGCGAGAUGUUGAACGUUUAUUAAACAAAUGUUGGAAAACUGACACGGUUCAGAACAGUGUGGUUAAAAGAGCAUCUAACCUCCGCUCGAAAUCCCGUAGAAAUCGACCGUACAGUUUCCUCGGAAAUUCGAAAUGUCAUCUUAAAAAUCUAAUCUGACCUACGUUUUUUUACUUAAAAUUUGGGUGUUUGCUCCAAAAUUAGCAAUCCACGCCGAAAUAUGACACCGUCUUGUAUCGAUGUGCGUGUGAAAAAUGUAGGGCCACAAUCGCAGUAAUAACACAAUUUGUUGUAAAAAUAACUAGCCAUUAUGAAAUACAUGUCUCAUAAUAAUUAUAACCAAGGCUAGGAUUUUAUAGCACUGAAAAUAACUAAAAUAUGCGUUAUAUUAUAACCUAAAACAUCUUAAAAUAAGCCAUAAUAUG